CGCCUCCUUUUCUCGCGCUGGUGUGAGCGGCGGCUUGGUUCCUUCGCUGCAGUUGCGGGGCUUCUGCGGCGUGCAUCAGGCCACGGCGGGAGAGGGGAGGAUGGCUGGGCGCAAGAAGAAGCUGGCGGGCGAAGGGAAAAAAAAAACGGUUCUCCUUCGGAAAGCAGAGCAGGGAAGGGAGCGCGGAGGCCUUGCCCGUGAAGGGCACAGACCCAAGGAAUAGCUUGUCUGCCCAGAAGAAUGGCCUUCUGCAAGGAAAUUGUAGACUUUUUGUGGAAGUUAUUCAGUUGAAUGGGAUGAAUGUAAUGGCUGAAGUAAUAGCUGUUCCUUUUGUAAGAAAAUAAUGGAAAGAGACAGUAUCCAUAAAGUGACUCUGGCUGGCUUCGCUGAUGAAUAAUCUUGUGGUUAAUUUAGCCUGGAGAGAUCUGGCUUCAAAUUCAUACUUGACCAUGAAUUUUCCUGGGUAUUGGCCUCAUAGUGCUGUGAGAAAAAAAAUACAGGGAUUUUCUUUGUAGAUAAAAUUGACUUGGACCUUCUUGACUUCAAUCCAUUGUUGGGGCAGAUCCUAAGGAUAUCUGGGUAACUUUCUUGUCCUGUUUUGUUUUAUCAUCUUGUAGAUUUCAGAAACUUAGACAUAAAGAGAUGGUCAUCACCCUUCAACCCUUGCCCCUCUUGUCUGAUGAAAUUGGUCUGGGAGGGACUGCCCCCAUGAAAAUGGAAGAUGAAUCAGUGCCUCCUUGUGACAGCUGCUCUCUCUCCUCCUUGCUUAAAAAGGAGUUGGUUGUAAGACUUCUGUUGAGAUUACCUCUGUUAAUUCAAAAGAUCAAGUUUCUGCCCUUUGGAACAGCCUCCCCCUGGGUUUUUCCUUAGGUGUUAGGGCCAGGACAUCAGUGCAACCCAGUAGAUCUGUAGGAGUGAGUUCUUUUGAGCUGCCUUUGGCUACAAUAUGAUUCUUAAUUGUAUUAAUUGUUUUAUAUUGCCUUUUAUUAAUAUGGUUUUUGAGUGGUAGGCAGCAGUAUUGCUAUCGAAACUCUCCUCGCGACCGGAGUUUGAUUCCAGCAGAAGCUGGAUUCUUGGGUAGCCGGCUCAGGUUGACUCAGCCUCCCAUACUUCUGAGGUUGGUAAAAUGAGUACCCAGCUUGCUGGGGAAGGUGGCAGCUGGGGAAGGCAAUGGCAAACCACCCCCCGCUAUAGUCUGCCAAGAAAACGUUGUGAAAGUGGCAUCCCCCAAAGGGUCAGACAUGACUUGCACAGGGGAACCUUCACUUUCUCACUCUCAGCUGCCCAGAGUUACUUGUUUAAGAAGGGUGGCCAUACAGUUUUCCCAAAAAAUAACAAACCUCUCUAAUUAUAGUCUACUUACACACACGCUAUUCUAGGGCAAAGAUGGCAGCGACCUCUUAACUCUAGUUUUAUUUGGAAGAUGCUGAUUAUCUGGACCCAUUUUAAUCAGGCCAGGAUAUGAUAGCAAGGCUGCUUUGAUCACCUUGGUGGAUGUCCUGUGCCAGUGUUACCUGGAAUUUUAAGCUGCAUUAUUAACUUUUUAACAAAGGUGAUAUCCAUGCCUUCUUUUGAAGUUCAGGAAACCAUGUUGUCCUUUUACCCCAAACCAUUCCUUUUAAGUUCAGAGCAAUAGUGUUUUUUGAAAAUCCUUGAAUACACUUGCAUAUGGAUACAAACCUGGCUGGGAAAGGGAGUGAUGUAACCCAUAAAUUUGCCACUUGUGGAAUGUUACCUGCAGUCAGCGUUUUCUGUUGUUCAAUUCUCACAUGUAAUCAAUGUCUUUUAUUGAUUAGUUGCUUUCUGAUGUAUCACGUAUACCAAACGUAUCAUUUGUUUCUGUACCCUAUAAAAACACUUGACCCCCCUUAAUAAAUGCCUUUUGUUUUGCCUACA